AUGGCAAUGAUCUGCAAGCUCACUUCUAAUAUUUUGCAAGGUCACGGAGCUCCAUGCUAUGAAUGGUUCGUCAAAAGAUACUGCAGCAACACACUUCCGGGCCGUCUACGGAGUGGGGACACUCCCAUUUGGCGAUGCCUGCAAUCAACCAUUCAACUUGUUAUACAAUCUACCAGGUGCGUUUUGGGUAACGGAUCUAGAAUCUCUUUUUGGAAGGAUUCGUGGCUUGCUUGCGGAAGACUUGAAUUCUCCUUCCCAGUACUUUUCUCGUUUGCCCAAAACAAGAGCCGCUCGGUUGCAUCUCAGUUCAAUGCUGGAGUUUGGGACAUCAAACUACAUCCGAACCUCACUGUCGUAGCCAACAGAGAAUUGCAAGCUCUAAAUGACAUCUUGACCGGCAUCCAACCUGUGGAGGACCAUGCAGAUUCCCGGAAGCCAAUCUGUUUGUACAACAAGCCUAGAACACAUUUCUUCUAUGAGAUGCUCACGUUUAAAGGAGUUCAGUGCCCUUUGAAAGACAAGAUCUGGGACAAUCUUAUUCCGAAUAAAUACAGAGUUUUCCUCUGGUUAGCGAUCCGUGGCCGAGUGAACACAAGGGACAAUAUGCUGAAGAAACACUGGAAGAUCACAACUCAUAAUGGUUGCGAUUGGUGCCCCGCAUCAGAAACCAUACAUCAUCUUAUUCUGCGAUGCCGGUUAGCAGAUGCAGUUUGGCAAAGGAUCGGCCUGCAAGGUAUCGCCAAUGCUUGCCCGGACCUACAAACCUUCUUUUUUAGCAGCGGAGGCCAUGGCUACGUACGGCAAGCUUUGACACAUUCUCUUUUACGGCGAUUGCAGUUGCUCUCUGGACAGCCCGGAUCGCUCUUGUCUUCAGGACAGAGACAUGGACUGCAUCUCGGGCUUUUAAUGAGAUUCAUCAGCUUCUUCAUCUCUGGAAGCAUAGAGCCCGACGCGAUCAAGAUUUAG
rnacentral:rRNA from 1 species